rnacentral:rRNA from 1 species
AGACCGAUAGCAAACAAGUACCGUGAGGGAAGAUUGAAAAGAACUUUGAAGAGAGAGUUCAAUAGUACGUGAAACUGUGUGGUGGUAAACGGAGGGGUUCUCGAAGUUUCUGAGGGGAACUCAACCUUAGUGUUGGGCGGUCUGGGCGUAUCUGAUCAGCAAUGACUGUGCGUUCUCUCCUGCUCGGCUCUCGGGUGCAUUUCCCCCUCAGUUUACGGCAGGAACCGUUUGGAUCAGACCGAAGGCCUCGGGUGAAGUUGUCGCUUAUGGUGGCAGCCCUGGGUGUCCUGGCUCUGAGCCCGACGGGUAUGUGAGAGGACUCGUAUAGCGAGCAAUGCUCUGUUGCGGUUCUCAUCUCUCUGCCGAGUAGGUCGGCGGCCCCUCCGACCCGUCUUGAAACACGGAC